AGCUCUUGGAGAAUGGAAGAAUGAAAUGGAAGUGAUAAGAAAAAUUGAAGAGAGGGGUCCCUAUUUAUAGAAAAUGGGGACCAUUAAAUUUGAAACAAAUGACGAAAUCUAGUGAGGAAAGGGAAAGUUAAAUGAGAAAGAAGUGAUGUGACAUGACUCGACUGUUGUGCAAAAAUGAAGAAAGCCUCCCAACUGAUGGUGGCACACUCUUAAGACAACAAUGGCAUACCACCCAACUAGUGGCGCGCAUGAGCCGAGGUAGUGCUCGAUACCCAAGGUGGUGGCAGCACACUGCCCGAGGCAAUAGUGUUCCUCCCCAAUUGGCUACGCGUUGCAUGCCUAGCCUGCAGGUGCGUUGGCUUAUCCUACUGCAUGCAGGGCGUACAGAGUGGACAGCGUGUGCAUAGGGCAUACGGUGUCGUGCCUGUUUGCGCGCGCAAACUAACCUUGUGCCCUGCGGUAAUGGGACAUGCACACAUUGUGCAGCUCCGGUGUUGGCCGCACGCACGCAUGCGCACAAGGCGUGCAAUGCCCACGUGGGUCUUUUCCCCUAGGUAUAUUCCCGUGGUAUUUUACUCCCUUU
rnacentral:lncRNA from 1 species